rnacentral:misc_RNA from 1 species
UUGUUUAGAUUGGAUUUUUGAAUCUAGCGUGUAAUAGCCAGAUUCCGAAACAAAAAAUAAUGAAUUUGGAUACUAAAAGGAGACGUGUCACGAUUCCAAGAGGAACGAGAGCACGCCUCCCCGUUUUUUAAUGAUCCUUCCGCAGGUUCACCUACGGAAA